GCUUACGGCCACACCACCCUGAGCGCGCCCGAUCUCGUCUGAUCUCGGAAGCUAAGCAGGGUCCGGCCUGGUUAGUACUUGGAUGGGAGACCGCCUGGGAAUACCAGGUGCCGUAAGCU
ensembl:rRNA 5S_rRNA 5S ribosomal RNA